UUCCAGAGCCAAGCGCUGUUCGAGUACC
rnacentral:sRNA from 1 species